rnacentral:rRNA from 1 species
GGAUAACCUACCCUUAGGACCGGGAUAACCCUGGGAAACUGGGGAUAAUACUGGAUAGGCAAUUUUUCCUGUAAUGGUUUUUUGUUUAAAUGUUUUUUCGCCUAAGGAUGGGUCUGCGGCCGAUUAGGUAGUUGGUUAGGUAAUGGCUUACCAAGCCGUUGAUCGGUACGGGUUGUGAGAGCAAGAGCCCGGAGAUGGAACCUGAGACAAGGUUCCAGGCCCUACGGGGUGCAGCAGGCGCGAAACCUCCGCAAUGUGAGAAAUCGCGACGGGGGGAUCCCAAGUGCCAUUCUUAACGGGAUGGCUUUUCAUUAGUGUAAAAAGCUUUUGGAAUAAGAGCUGGGCAAGACCGGUGCCAGCCGCCGCGGUAACACCGGCAGCUCUAGUGGUAGCAAUUUUUAUUGGGCCUAAAGCGUCCGUAGCCGGUUUAAUAAGUCUCUGGUGAAAUCCUGCAGCUUAACUGUGGGAAUUGCUGGAGAUACUAUUAGACUUGAGACCGGGAGAGGUUAGAGGUACUCCCAGGGUAGAGGUGAAAUUCUGUAAUCCUGGGAGGACCGCCUGUUGCGAAGGCGUCUAACUGGAACGGUUCUGACGGUGAGGGACGAAAGUUAGGGGCGCGAACCGGAUUAGAUACCCGGGUAGUCCUAACUGUAAACGAUGCGGACUUGGUGUUGGGGUGGCUUUGAGCUGCUCCAGUGCCGAAGGGAAGCUGUUAAGUCCGCCGCCUGGGAAG